GGAGGGGUUCCCGAGUGGCCAAAGGGAUCAGACUGUAAAUCUGCUGGCGGAUGCCUUCGGAGGUUCGAAUCCUUCCCCCUCCACCA
rnacentral:tRNA from 1 species